AUAUGUAUAACCAACAACAUAGCAAUAGAAUUAUCAUACCAGAAUCAUUUCUAUUCCGGAUUCUACACUCAGUACCUAGACCACACUACCUAGUCUCUAGUGCCCAUACCCUAGACCAAGUUGAAACAGCUCCAUAUUUUCAUCAACUCGCAAGUAGCCAUGAGAAGAAGGAAGAAUGAGUUAUUUUUAUCAUAGAAAAGAAAUGAAAUGAAAAGAAAAGCAGAAGAAUGAUGCUGCAAAAUGAUAUCAAAAGCUUUACCAACGCAGGUCAGCAGUUAGAAGACCAACAUAGUAAGCAGGAAGCACAGAGUAGCGAAGAGUAAAAGACCCUCUAAGGAAACGUACAGACUACAGAAAAAUAAUACCAUGAAUACGAAAAAUGAGAAGUGGCAGAGGUGAAUUACCAGGGGUGAGUUUAAUUAUGGGGUUUCAUACUUUGACAAGUUGUUGUUUCCCUUGUGUAGUUGGAGCUUGUGUGUUAUCAAUGCACUACUUUCUCCUUCAUUUGAGUCUUCCACUUAGCCCUGCAAAUGCAAUGAAACUCGGGAUCAUUCACCAUUUCCAUCUUAUAUGAAACACAAUAAAGAAUAAAUACAACAUCAACGUUUUAGUUUAUCAUACCUUCUGAUCAGAUACAUGGUUUCUGCCUUUCUGCACUGAUCCUUUAUUCUUCUACCUGAAUGUUCACCCUAGACGCUACACCCUGGCAACUAGUACAUAAAUUACCCUUAACCCCAAUACCUGCCCAGUAAGUUACAAAAGCAGGUCAGCAGUUAGAAGACCAACAUAGUAAGCAGGAAGCACAGAGUAGCGAAGAGUAAAAGACCCUCUAAGGAAACGUACAGACUACAGAAAAAUAAUACCAUGAAUACGAAAAAUGAGAAGUGGCAGAGGUGAAUUACCAGGGAUGAGUUGAAUUUUGGGGUUUCAUACGUUGACAAGUUGUUGUUUCCCUUGUGCAGUUGGAGCUUGUGUGUUAUCAAUGCACUACUUUCUCCUUCAUUUGAGUCUUCCACUUAGCCCUGCAAAUGCAAUGAAACUCGGGAUCAUCCACCAUUUCCAUCUUAUAUGAAACACAAUAAAGAAUAAAUACAACAUCAACGUUUUAGUUUAUCAUACCUUCUGAUCAGAUACAUGGUUUCUGCCUUUCUGCACUGAUCCUUUAUUCUUCUACCUGAAUGUUCACCCUAGACGCUACACCCUGGCAACUAGUACAUAAAUUACCCUUAACCCCAAUACCUGCCCAGUAAGUUACAAAAGCAGGUCAGCAGUUAGAAGACCAACAUAGUAAGGAGGAAGCACACAGUAGCGAAGAGUAAAAGACCUACAAACUACAACGGAAAAAAUACCAUCAGAAGAAUAGGAAGAAUGACAAGUGGCAGAGGUGAAUUACCAGGGACGAGUUUGAUUUUGGGACUUCCAUAGCUUUGACAAGAUGAUGUUUCCCCUAUAAAGUUGCAGCUUGUGUGUUAUCAAUGCAUGCACCACUAUCAUCUGCAACAUGUCCACAAGUAUUGAAGAGAAGGACGGGGGAAACAGGAAAGAUAUCACUGAAAUUCUUAUGAAGACCAACAUAGUAAGGAGGAAGCACACAGUAGCGAAGAGUAAAAGACCUACAAACUACAACGGAAAAAAUACCAUCAGAAGAAUAGGAAGAAUGACAAGUGGCAGAGGUGAAUUACCAGGGACGAGUUUGAUUUUGGGACUUCCAUAGCUUUGACAAGAUGAUGUUUCCCCUAUAAAGUUGCAGCUUGUGUGUUAUCAAUGCAUGCACCACUAUCAUCUGCAACAUGUCCACAAGUAUUGAAGAGAAGGACGGGGGAAACAGGAAAGAUAUCACUGAAAUUCUUAUGAAGACCAACAUAGUAAGGAGGAAGCACACAGUAGCGAAGAGUAAAAGACCUACAAACUACAACGGAAAAAAUACCAUCAGAAGAAUAGGAAGAAUGACAAGUGGCAGAGGUGAAUUACCAGGGAUGAGUUGAAUUUUGGGGUUUCAUACGUUGACAAGUUGUUGUUUCCCUUGUGCAGUUGGAGCUUGUGUGUUAUCAAUGCACUACUUUCUCCUUCAUUUGAGUCUUCCACUUAGCCCUGCAAAUGCAAUGAAACUCGGGAUCAUCCACCAUUUCCAUCUUAUAUGAAACACAAUAAAGAAUAAAUACAACAUCAACGUUUUAGUUUAUCAUACCUUCUGAUCAGAUACAUGGUUUCUGCCUUUCUGCACUGAUCCUUUAUUCUUCUACCUGAAUGUUCACCCUAGACGCUACACCCUGGCAACUAGUACAUAAAUUACCCUUAACCCCAAUACCUGCCCAGUAAGUUACAAAAGCAGGUCAGCAGUUAGAAGACCAACAUAGUAAGCAGGAAGCACAGAGUAGCGAAGAGUAAAAGACCCUCUAAGGAAACGUACAGACUACAGAAAAAUAAUACCAUGAAUACGAAAAAUGAGAAGUGGCAGAGGUGAAUUACCAGGGGUGAGUUUAAUUAUGGGGUUUCAUACUUUGACAAGUUGUUGUUUCCCUUGUGCAGUUGGAGCUUGUGUGUUAUCAAUGCACUACUUUCUCCUUCAUUUGAGUCUUCCACUUAGC
rnacentral:lncRNA from 1 species